AGGAGGUAUGGCCCCCCAAAAAGCCAGCAGUGUUACCUGUUAGGGCCCCCAAAAAGCCAGCAGUGUUACCUGUUCGCAGGAGCGAACGCCUGCGAAAGAUGAACAGUGCUCGAGAAGACGGCCCAUCUGUCAGCCCACCCGUCCAGAAGAUCCAGGCAAGAAAUAAGGCAAAAAAUGACAAGCCCAAACGAGGACCGAGCCAACAAUUGCCAAAACUGAAGAGGAAGCAACCCAAGCCCACCCAGAAAAAACAGCUCCCGAAGACAUCUAAAAAAUGAGUUUUCUUCACCACAAGACCCUGGGAUGAUGUCUAACUACCUCACGAUGGACAACGCAAUUGACAUACCAAAUUGCUGUGGUACGAUUUUGAGUUUCUAAUGGGUCAUUAAAAAAAACAAACAAAAGUU